rnacentral:misc_RNA from 1 species
GAUGAGAACGCAGCGAAAUGCGAUAAGUAAUGUGAAUUGCAGAAUUCAGUGAAUCAUCGAAUCUUUGAACGCACAUUGCGCCCGCCAGCAUUCUGGCGGGCAUGCCUGUUCGAGCGUCAUUUCAACCCUCGAGCCCGACUCUUUUGAGGACGGCUCGGCGUUGGGGGACGGCAGACUCCCCCCGGCAUCUCGCCGGGGACGCCGCCCCCGAAAUCUAGUGGCGGCCCUCCGAGGCGACCUCUGCGUAGUAACUUGUUCUCGCACCGGAAAGCUCAGAGCGGCCACGCCGUAAAACCCCAACUUUUUUCAGGUUGACCUCGAAUCAGGUAGGACUACCCGCUGAACUUAAGCAUAUCAAUAAGCGGAGGA